rnacentral:rRNA from 1 species
UACGUAGGGGGGCUAGCGUUGUCCGGAAUCAUUGAGCGUAAAGCGCGUGUAGGCGGCCCGGUAAGUCCGCUGUGAAAGUCGGGGGGCUCAACCCUCGAAUGCCGGUGGAUACUGUCGGGCUCGAGUACGGAAGAGGCGAGUGGAAUUCCGUGGUGUAGCGGUGAAAUGCGCAGAUAUCAGGAGGAACACCAAUUGCGAAGGCAGCUCGCUGGGACGUUACUGACGCUGAGACGCGAAAGCGUGGGGAGCAAACAGG